GAUGAACGCUGGCGGCGUGCCUAAUACAUGCAAGUCGAACGAGGUCUUCGGACCUAGUGGCGAACGGGUGAGUAACACGUUGGUACCUACCCCGAAGUGGGGAAUAACUGCCCGAAAGGGUGGCUAAUACCGCAUAAUACCGCAAGGUUAAAGCAGUAAUGCGCUUCGGGAGGGGCCUGCGUCCCAUUAGCUAGUUGGUAGGGUAAUGGCCUACCAAGGCGACGAUGGGUAGCUGGAUCGAGAGGUUAACCAGCCACACUGGGACUGAGAUACGGCCCAGACUCCUACGGGAGGCAGCAGUAAGGAAUCUUCCACAAUGGACGAAAGUCUGAUGGAGCAACGCCGCGUGCAGGAUGACGGCCUUCGGGUUGUAAACUGCUUUUAUACGGGAAGAUUAUGACGGUACCGUAUGAAUAAGGACCGGCUAACUACGUGCCAGCAGCCGCCGUAA
rnacentral:rRNA from 1 species